rnacentral:rRNA from 1 species
GAUGAACGCUGGCGGUAUGCUUAACACAUGCAAGUCGAACGGACUCUUCGGAGUUAGUGGCGGACGGGUGAGUAACGCGUGAGAAUCUGGCUUUGGGUUCGGGACAACCACUGGAAACGGUGGCUAAUACCGGAUGUGCCGAGAGGUAAAAGAGAAAUUGCCUGAAGAUGAGCUCGCGUCUGAUUAGCUAGUUGGUGAGGUAAAGGCUCACCAAGGCAGCGAUCAGUAGCUGGUCUGAGAGGAUGACCAGCCACACUGGGACUGAGACACGGCCCAGACUCCUACGGGAGGCAGCAGUGGGGAAUUUUCCGAAAUGGACGAAAGCCUGACGGAGCAAUACCGCGUGAGGGAAGAAGGCUCUUGGGGUGUAAACCUCUUUUCUUAGGGAAGAACAAAAUGACGGUACCUAAGGAAUCAGCAUCGGCUAACUCCGUG